rnacentral:rRNA from 1 species
AUUAGCUAGUUGGUGAGAUAACAGCCCACCAAGGCUUGGAUGCGUAGCCGAUCUGAGAGGAUGAACGGCCACAUUGGAACUGAGACACGGUCCAGACUCCUACGGGAGGCAGCAGUAAGGAAUUUUCGGCAAUGGGGGAAACCCUGACCGAGCAACGCCGCGUGAGUGAUGAAGGUCUUCGGAUUGUAAAGCUCUGUUGUCAGGGACGAACGGUAUUCCUAGGAAAUGAGGAGUAUUUGACAGUACCUGGCCAGAAAGCCACGGCUAACUACGUGCCAGCAGCCGCGGUAAUACGUAGGUGGCAAGCGUUAUCCGGAAUUAUUGGGCGUAAAGAGUGAGCAGGCGGCAGUUUAAGUCUGGAGUGAAAGCGUGAAGCUCAACUUCAUACAGCUUCAGAAACUGAACAGCUAGAGUACGGGAGAAGUAAGUGGAACUCCAUGUGUAGCGGUGAAAUGCGUAGAUAUAUGGAAGAACACCAGUGGCGAAGGCGACUUACUAGCCCGAGACUGACGCUCAGGUGCGAAAGCGUGGGGAGCAAACAGGAUUAGAUACCCUGGUAGUCCACGCUGUAAAC